rnacentral:rRNA from 1 species
GACGAACGCUGGCGGCGUGCUUAACACAUGCAAGUCGAACGGAAAGGCCCCUUUGGGGGUACUCGAGUGGCGAACGGGUGAGUAACACGUGAGUAACCUGCCCUUGACUUCGGGAUAACUUCAGGAAACUGGGGCUAAUACCGGAUAGGAAUCCUUGCUGCAUGGUGGGGGUUGGAAAGCUUCGGCGGUUUUGGAUGGACUCGCGGCUUAUCAGCUUGUUGGUGGGGUAGUGGCUUACCAAGGCUUUGACGGGUAGCCGGCCUGAGGGGGCGACCGGCCACAUUGGGACUGAGAUACGGCCCAGACUCCUACGGGAGGUAGCAGUGGGGAAUAUUGCACAAUGGGCGGAAGCCUGAUGCAGCAACGCCGCGUGCGGGAUGACGGCCUUCGGGUUGUAAACCGCUUUCAGCAGGGGCGAAGCUUGUGGUGACGGUACCUGCAGAAGAAGCACCGGCUAACUACGUG